rnacentral:rRNA from 1 species
GACGAACGCUGGCGGCGUGCUUAACACAUGCAAGUCGAACGGUGAAGCGCCUUCCUUUUUGGUGGGUGUGGAUGAGUGGCGAACGGGUGAGUAACACGUGAGUAACCUGCCCCCUUCUUCUGGAUAACCGCAUGAAAGUGUGGCUAAUACGGGAUAUUCUGGGUCUGUCGCAUGAUGGGUCUGGGAAAGAUAUUGUUUCGGUGGGGGAUGGGCUCGCGGCCUAUCAGCUUGUUGGUGGGGUGAUGGCCUACCAAGGCGGUGCCGGGUAGCCGGCCUGAGAGGGUGGACGGUCACACUGGGACUGAGACACGGCCCAGACUCCUACGGGAGGCAGCAGUGGGGAAUAUUGCACAAUGGGCGCAAGCCUGAUGCAGCGACGCCGCGUGAGGGAUGGAGGCCUUCGGGUUGUGAACCUCUUUCGCCAGUGAAGCAGGCCUGCCUCGUUUGUGGGUGGGUUGACGGUAGCUGGAUAAGAAGCGCCGGCUAACUACGUG